rnacentral:rRNA from 1 species
UACGUAGGCGGCUUGUUAAGCAAGAUGUGAAAUCCCCGGGCUCAACCUGGGAAUGGCAUUUUGAACUGGCAAGCUCGAGUUCUGAAGAGGGUGGUAGAAUUUCCAGUGUAGCGGUGAAAUGCGUAGAGAUUGGAAGGAAUACCGGUGGCGAAGGCGGCCACCUGGUCAGAAACUGACGCUGAGGUACGAAAGCGUGGGGAGCAAACA